AUGGACGAGUGGGCCAACUUUCGCAGCUUCUCCGGCGGCGGCUGGAGCGCCCGCGGCGGCAAGGGCGGGAACCCCUACGUGCUGUCGGCGACGCCGUGUGGGUUGAGCACGGGAUCAGCGAUCGCCGCGGCGGCGAGCAUGACGGCGGUGACGCUGGGGACGGAGACGGACGGCUCGAUACUCUGCCCGGCGUCGCUGAACUCGGUGGUGGGGAUCAAGCCCAUGGUGGGGUUGACCAGCCGGGCUGGGGUUAUUCCCACCACACCACGCCAAGCCUCAACCGGCUGGCAUAACAAAGAUAGGCCGAUCUGCCGCACGGUGGCUCAUGCGGUCCACGUGCUGGACGCCAUUGUUGGCUAUGACCCAGUUGACGCUCCAGCCACAAUGGCGGCUUCCAAAUACAUCCCUCCUGGUGGAUACACACAGUUCUUGAAGAAAGAUGGGCUUAGAGGGAAGAGAAUCGGCGUUCCUAAUGGCUUCUUCAACUUCCCAAAUGGUAAUGUGCAGCAGAUGGUCUACACGCAACAUCUCAACACAAUGAGGAAACAAGGUGCAAUCGUUAUUGAGAAGCUUGACAUAGAGAAUUUAAGUGUCCUAUUGGAUUCCCAAAACAAUGGCCAACAGAUUGCAUUACCAGCAGAGUUCAAGUUAAGCCUCAACUCCUAUCUGUCAAACGUAUUACAUUCCCCAGUUCGGUCGCUUGCAGAGAUCAUAGCUUUCAACAAUGCACAUCCUGUUGAGGAAAACAUGAAGGAAAAUGGUCAAACUGUAUUCCUGGUGGCUGAGAACACGACUGGCAUCGGUGCCUUGGAGCGAGCGGCGAUUAGACAGUUAAACAAGUUGUCCGCCAAUGGAUUGAAGAAGUUGAUGAGGGAGCAUGAGCUAGAUGCCAUCAUGACACCUAAUAAUGCAGCAUCUUCGGUGCUAGCCAUCGACGGCAUGCCGGCCAUCACCGUGCCGGCCGGGUAUGGCAAGCAGGGGGUGCCGUUUGGUCUCUGCUUUGGUGGGUUAAGAGGGUACGAGCCAAGGCUGAUCGAGAUGGCAUAUGCCUUCGAGCAGGUCACCAUGGUCAGGAAGCCGCCUACGUUCUUGCCAUAG
rnacentral:rRNA from 1 species